CCCUUAGAUGUCCGGGGCCGCACGCGCGCUACACUGAAGGAAUCAGCGUGGCUUUCUCCCUGACCCGAAAGGGUUGGGAAACCCGUUGAAUCUCCUUCGUGAUAGGGAUUGGGGCUUGAAAUUGUUCCCCAUGAACGAGGAAUUCCCAGUAAGCGCGAGUCAUAAGCUCGCGUUGAUUACGUCCCUGCCCUUUGUACACACCGCCCGUCGCUACUACCGAUUGAACGGUUUAGUGAGGGCCUCGGAUUGGUCUCGGCCCGCUCUUUACCGGGCGGCGCCGUUGGUCGAGAAGACGCUCGAACUUGAUCGUUUAGAGGAAGUAAAAGUCGUAACC
rnacentral:rRNA from 1 species